rnacentral:tRNA from 20 species
UGGGUUGCCCGGGACUCGAACCCGGAACUAGUCGG